GGGGGUGGGGGAUGACGAUGCCAACAACAACAAUAACAACAACCACAUCAACAACAAUAACAACAACAACAACAACAACAACAACAACAACAAUAACAACAACAAAAACAACAACAACAACAACAUAAACAACAACAACAACAACAAUAACAACAACAACCACCACCACAACAACAACCACCACGACCACCACCACCACCACAACAACAACAACGAUGACGAUGACGGCGACAACGACGUAAACAAAGACAAUGACCACAACAACAACAACAACAAUAACAACAACCACAUCAACAAUAGUAACAACAACAACAACAACAACAACAAU
rnacentral:lncRNA from 1 species